rnacentral:rRNA from 1 species
GAUGAACGCUGGCGGCGUGCCUAAUACAUGCAAGUCGAGCGAACGGACGAGAAGCUUGCUUCUCUGAUGUUAGCGGCGGACGGGUGAGUAACGCGUGGAUAACCUACCUAUAAGACUGGGAUAACUUCGGGAAACCGGAGCUAAUACCGGAUAAUAUUUUGAACCGCAUGGUUCAAAAGUGAAAGACGGUCUUGCUGUCACUUAUAGAUGGAUCCGCGCUGCAUUUGCUAGUUGGUAAGGUAACGGCUUACCAAGGCAACGAUGCAUAGCCGACCUGAGAGGGUGAUCGGCCACACUGGAACUGAGACACGGUCCAGACUCCUACGGGAGGCAGCAGUAGGGAAUCUUCCGCAAUGGGCGAAAGCCUGACGGAGCAACGCCGCGUGAGUGAUGAAGGUCUUCGGAUCGUAAAACUCUGUUAUUAGGGAAGGACAUAUGUGUAAGUAACUGUGCACAUCUUGACGGUACCUAAUCAGAAAGCCACGGCUAACUACGUG